rnacentral:rRNA from 1 species
UUCUGGCUCAGGAUGAACGCUGGCGGCGUGCCUAACACAUGCAAGUCGAGCGAAGAUGAAGAAGCUUGCUCAGAUCUAGCGGCGGACGGGUGAGUAACGCGUGGGCAACCUACCUAUACAGGGGGAUAACAAUGGGAAACCAUUGCUAAUACCCCAUAAAGCAUUUGAGGGGCAUCCCUUGAAUGCCAAAGAAUUUCGGUAUAGGAUGGGCCCGCGUCGCAUUAGCUAGUUGGUGAGGGUAAUGGCUCACCAAGGCGACGAUGCGUAGCCGGCCUGAGAGGGUGAACGGCCACACUGGAACUGAGACACGGUCCAGACUCCUACGGGAGGCAGCAGUGGGGAAUAUUGCACAAUGGGGGAAACCCUGAAUGCAGCAACGCCGCGUGAGCGAUGAAGGCCUUCGGGUCGUAAAGCUCUGUCCUAAGGGAAGAUAAUGACGGUACCUUAGGAGGAAGCCCCGGCUAACUACGUGCCAGCAGCUGC